AAGGAUUCAAAGUCAUCUUCAGCAAUUAAAAUGGUUAUAUAUACAAAAUUUCUUUUUUUUUUUUUUUUUUUUUUUUUGCAUGUGUUUUAACAAUCCCCCACCCUCCAGAGCCCUAGGUCUAUAUCCGUAUGAAAUGCAUUGAUCGGUAACCUUAUGAGUUAGUGUUAUGAAAGCCAUUAAAAAGUAGACCUGGUUGAGUUAAUUAUUAGCACUUUGACCCCUAAAAAAUGUUCCUGGUUACAGAAAAGUCCUCCAUUCAGGCCUUUCUUGUAAGUGAAGAAAAAGGAAUGCAGCAAAGAAGAGUUCUAAUUUUGUGUCAGGAGAUAAAGAGGGAGGCUCAGUUAUGUGAAGGUAUUCCUCACUUGAUGGUUUGAAAGUCGCUUCAAUAUUUACAUGAAUUUCCUUAAAAGAAUCCUGUGGGGACAUUACAGAUGAGCCGACGUCUAUUCCUGGCAGAGCACUGGGCUGGGGGAUCUCUGUGUGUCCAGAGGCUUCACUGCCUGAGUAGAUAGUGAGGGGAGA
rnacentral:lncRNA from 10 species